AACGAACGCUGGCGGCAUGCCUAACACAUGCAAGUCGAACGAGACCUUCGGGUCUAGUGGCGCACGGGUGCGUAACACGUGGGAAUCUGCCCUUUGCUUCGGAAUAACAGUUAGAAAUGACUGCUAAUACCGGAUGAUGUCGAAAGACCAAAGAUUUAUCGGCAAAGGAUGAGCCCGCGUAGGAUUAGGUAGUUGGUGGGGUAAAGGCCUACCAAGCCGACGAUCCUUAGCUGGUCUGAGAGGAUGAUCAGCCACACUGGGACUGAGACACGGCCCAGACUCCUACGGGGGGCAGCAGUGGGGAGUAUUGGACAAUGGGCGAAAGCCUGAUACAGCAAUGCCGCGUGAGUGAUGAAGGCCUUAGGGUUGUAAAGCUCUUUUACCAGGGAUGAUAAUGACAGUACCUGGAGAAUAAGCGCCGGCUAACUCCGUG
rnacentral:rRNA from 1 species